rnacentral:rRNA from 1 species
GACAGAGGUCCCGAGCGUUAGGCGGAAUCACUGGGCUUAAAGCGUGUGUAGGCGUACUUCUAAGUACCUUGUGAAAUCCCACGGCUUAACCGUGGAACUGCUUGGUAUACUGGUUGUCUUGGGCCAUCUAGGGGCUACUGGAACAAACGGUGGAGCGGUGAAAUGCGUAGAUAUCGUCAGGAACGCCGAUGGUGAAGACAGGUGACUGGGCUAGUUCUGACACUGAGGCACGAAAGCGUGGGGAGCGAACGGG